UACGUAGGGUCCGAGCGUUGUCCGGAAUUACUGGGCGUAAAGAGCUCGUAGGUGGUUUGUCGCGUUGUUCGUGAAAACUCACAGCUCAACUGUGGGCGUGCGGGCGAUACGGGCAGACUUGAGUACUGCAGGGGAGACUGGAAUUCCUGGUGUAGCGGUGGAAUGCGCAGAUAUCGGGAGGAACACCAGUGGCGCAGGCGGCGUCCUGGACCGGCACUGACGCUGAGGAGCGAAAGCGUGGGGAGCGAUCCGG
rnacentral:rRNA from 1 species